AUUGAACGCUAGCGGGAUGCUUUACACAUGCAAGUCGAACGAGUGGCGGACGGGUGAGUAAUAUCUCGGAACGUGCCCAGUAGCGGGGGAUAACUACUCGAAAGCGUAGAUAAUACCGCAUAAUCUCGGAGUGGCCGAUAUCGGAUUAGCUAGGUGGUGGGGGAAAGGCUCACCAAGGCCACGAUCCGUAGCUGGUUUGAGAGGACUACCAGCCACACUGGAACUGAGACACGGCCCAGACUCCUACGGGAGGCAGCAGUGGGGAAUUUUGGACAAUGGGGGAAACCCUGAUCCAGCCAUCCCGCGUGUAUGAGAAGGCCUUCGGGUUGUAAAGUACUUUGUGCAGAGAAGCGUUAUCUGCAGAAUAAGCACCGGCUAACUCCGUGCCAGCAGCCGCGGUAAUUC
rnacentral:rRNA from 1 species